rnacentral:rRNA from 1 species
GUAUAAGAGACAGCAGCAGCCACGGUAAGACAGAGGAUGCAAGCGUUAUCCGGAAUGAUUGGGCGUAAAGCGUCUGUAGGUGGCUUUUCAAGUCCGCCGUCAAAUCCCAGGGCUCAACCCUGGACAGGCGGUGGAAACUACCAAGCUGAAGUACGGUAGGGGCAGAGGGAAUUUCCGGUGGAGCGGCGAAAUGCGUUGAGAUCGGAAAGAACACCAACGGCGAAAGCACUCUGCUGGGCCGACACUGACACUGAGAGACGAAAGCUAGGGGAGCAAAUGGGAUUAGAGACCCGCGUAGUCCCUGUCUCUUAUAC